rnacentral:rRNA from 1 species
AUUGAACGCUGGCGGCAGGCCUAACACAUGCAAGUCGAGCGGAUCGGCGGACGGGUAAGUAAUGCCUAGGAAUCUGCCUGGGAGUGGGGGAGAACGUCCGGAAAUGGGCGCUAAUACCACAUACUAUCAGAUGAGCCUAGGUCGGAUUAGCUUGUUGGGUGGGUAAAGGCCUACCAAGGCGACGAUCCGUAACUGGUCUGAGAGGAUGAGCAGUCACACUGGAACUGAGACACGGUCCAUACUCCUACGGGAGGCAGCAGUGGGGAAUAUUGGACAAUGGGCGAAAGCCUGAUCCAGCCAUGCCGCGUGUGUGAAGAAGGCCUUCGGAUUGUAAAGUACUUUAAGUUGGGAGGCGUUACCAACAGAAUAAGCACCGGCUAACUUCGUGCCAACCGCCGCGGUAAUAC